UGCGUGCGCAGGUCAAAGCGGUCAGUGUUGUCUCUGAAUAAUCUGUGUGACUGCACCCUCUAGGUGAAGCGUCACCUUUGCCCUCGGGACCGGAGGAGGACGCACGCACCCCUGGCGAGGAGGCAGGGGUGCCCGAGCCAGAAACCGAACGGGAAGACACCCGUCCUGAGAUUAACGUAGCUGACGAAGGUGCUCCGGAGGAGCCAACCGAGGACGAGACAUUGAGGUCUGUGCUCGCAGCAGACCAGCCUGACAUGUCCGGUGACACAUCGGGACAAGAGGAAGACACGGCGUCCCCUGACGAGCAGGAAGGGGUGCCCGAGCCGGAAACCGAACGGGAAGACACCCGUCCUGAGACGAACGUCGCUG